rnacentral:lncRNA from 1 species
AUAUAAAGAUCACAUGUAAGUUAUGGCUUUCAUGGAGUACAUCUAGUAAUAAUUUACUGACUGUAGUCAAAAUUAAAAUGAUAUAACUAGAGUUAUAUUUUUCUAAAAACUCAGACACUAACCAUACUGUUAGCAUUAUUUGAAGAUGCUCUUCUUUUUAAAUAAUGACACACGCUAAGGACAAGAAUAAGGAAUAGCUGAAAAUAACUGCUUGUAUUUAAAUAUGUUUGGAGGGGGAGUCAUUUUUGGUCUUUAACCUUUCUUCCUCAUAUCUCAUGGAAUUCUUUCUUAAGAGUUUGGUAUUCUUUGAUAAUAGGGAGUAGAAGUGAGAUUUUUAAGUGAAAAUUCCCACCAUCCCAUUCUAUUACAUAUCUGAAUUCAGAACACUCCAGCCUGGGCCAAAAUUAAGAAUGACUGGUUUCACUCUUUACAGAAAUAUAUCUAACACAGGGAAACACAAGAUGCCCUAAUAAGGGUUUAUAAUUAGUCAAUAAAGGAGCCUUCUCCAGAACCAGUAUUUCAAGGUAUCUCUUCCGGUGGUAGCCCCUGAGGUUUUUACACCCCAAGACAGUGCACUUGAGGAAAGAGUGGGGUAGAUAAGGGCUGUGCCUUCCUUUAGCAAAGCGAAGCAGAGAAACGUUGUUGUGCACACAGGCCUACACGCUUGUAAUCCCAGCACUUU